UACGAAGGGGGCUAGCGUUGCUCGGAAUCACUGGGCGUAAAGCGCACGUAGGCGGCUUUCUAAGUCAGGGGUGAAAUCCUGGAGCUCAACUCCAGAACUGCCUUUGAUACUGGGAAGCUCGAGUCCGGAAGAGGUGAGCGGAACUCCGAGUGUAGAGGUGAAAUUCGUAGAUAUUCGGAAGAACACCAGUGGCGAAGGCGGCUCACUGGUCCGGUACUGACGCUGAGGUGCGAAAGCGUGGGGAGCAAACAGG
rnacentral:rRNA from 1 species